rnacentral:rRNA from 1 species
AAAUAACAAUGAUUUCCCUAGUAACGGCGAGUGAAGAGGAAAGAGCUCAAAGUUGGAAACUGUUUGGCUUAGCUAAACCGUAUUGUAAACUGUAGAAACAUUUUCCUGGCACACCAGAUUAAUAAGUCCUUUGGAACAAGGCAUCAUGGAGGGUGAGAAUCCCGUCUUUGAUCUGAGUAGUUGUCUUUUGUGAUAUGUUUUCAAAGAGUCAGGUUGUUUGGGAAUGCAGCCUAAAUUGGGUGGUAAAUCUCACCUAAAGCUAAAUAUUUGCGAGAGACCGAUAGCGAACAAGUACCGUGAGGGAAAGAUGAAAAGAACUUUGAAAAGAGAGUUAAACAGUAUGUGAAAUUGUUAAAAGGGAACCGUUUGGAGCCAGACUGGUUUGACUGUAAUCAACCUAGAAUUCGUUUUGGGUGCACUUGCAGUCUAUACCUGCCAACAACAGUUUGAUUUGGAGGACAAAAUUAAUAGGAAUGUAGCCUCUCGAGGUGUUAUAGACUAUUAUCAUACUCUGGAUUGGACUGAGGAACGCAGCGAAUGCCUUUAGGCAAGAUUGCUGGGUGCUUUCGCUAAUAAAUGUUAGAAUUUCUGCUUCGGGUGGUGCUAAUGUUUAAAGGAGGAACACAUCUAGUAUAUUUUUUAUUCGCUUAGGUUGUUGGCUU